rnacentral:rRNA from 1 species
GCAAGUCGAACGAGAAAACUAAAUAGCUUGCUAAUUGGUUUUCUAGUGGCGGACGGGUUAGUAACACGUGAGCAACCUGCCUCGAAGUGGGGGAUAGCCUUCCGAAAGGAAGAUUAAUACCGCAUGUGGCCUACGGGUCAAAGAUGCCUUCGGGUGUCGCUUUGAGAUGGGCUCGCGGCCUAUCAGCUUGUUGGUGAGGUAACGGCUCACCAAGGCUACGACGGGUAGCUGGUCUGAGAGGAUGAUC